UAGUGGCGUUUUAAAAAUGCCACAAAAAAUUGAGUUAUAAUCGAUCGUGCGCUUACGGAUUUGGGAGUAAAGCGUGCAAUUUAUUUUCCUUUAUUUAUUUCCCCUUUUAUUCUCUAUUGUUUUUCCAUUCUUUGAUCUCUGUUAAUCCUCUCUUUCGUUUUCUUUAUUCUCUUUCCCUUUCUUCUCCUUUCAUAACAAACCCUAGACACUUCCUCGCCAUCAACACCUUCGGGCGUCUUACCUCCGAUCAAAGUUUUGGGUCACCGAAUGCCAAAAAAAAAAAACACAGAAAGACGCCACACUAGGUUUUCUCUGCCGUUUCUGGUUUUUGUGAUUUUUUGAAAUUCUCUGCUUCAUCGGAACUGCUUUGAGGUUUCUCUAUGAAUGCAUUAUGUGCAAAUUUGAAAGGACACGCUAAUGUGUUUUUACCAGGGAACUGUAUCUAACUCCUUGUGCUAUUGCAGAUGGAUAUACCUUCCAAUUUGGCUUUAUCUUUCCUUUUCUUUCUGCUACUAUCUCGUGCUUUAAGUAGUCUUUACAUGCAUGUCACCUUUUAGCCUGCUUUUCUUGCAUAACACAAAUAAUGAGCUAAAACAUACAGGAACAAGCUCAGUUAACAUCUGUAGAUCAAAUGAGAGGGGGGAAUAUAGAAAGUUUGGUUGCAAUUCAGCAGACUAAGAUGCUUGCACAUACACUCUCUCAAAAUGAAUUCAAAAUUUCUUCAAUUUGUAUCCAAGAUGAGUAGUGGCGAACUUAUCAUUGAUGAUAAUCAGGUCAAACCAGGAUCAGAGAACCGAGCAACAGAAUAUCAGCAAUAGUACACUGUAGGUGCUUCUUGGGCUGAUGAAUUUGCCCAUGAUGA